AAUAGAUACCCGGGUAGUCCUGGCAGUAAACGGUGCACGUUUGGUGUGGGAGGAUUCGACCCCUUCCGUGCCGGAGCUAACGCGUUAAACGUGCCGCCUGGGGAGUACGGUCGCAAGAUUAAAACUCAAAGAAAUUGACGGGGGCCCGCACAAGCGGUGGAGUAUGUGGCUUAAUUCGAUGCAACGCGAAGAACCUUACCAGGCCUUGACAUGCAUCUCUAAGUCGGUGAAAGCCGGCGACUGUAGCAAUACAGAAUUUGCACAGGUGCUGCAUGGCUGUCGUCAGCUCGUGUCGUGAGAUGUUGGGUUAAGUCCCGCAACGAGCGCAACCCUUGUGAACUGUUGCCACCGGACCGUGAGGUCCGAGCACUCUGUUCAGACUGCCCUGUGAAACGGGGAGGAAGGUGAGGACGACGUCAAGUCAGGAUGGCCCUUACGGCCUGGGCUGCACACGUACUACAAUGCUCAGUACAGAACGAACCAAGACCGCGAGGUGGAGGAAAUCACUAAAACUGAGCCCAAUUCGGAUUGGAGG
rnacentral:rRNA from 1 species